rnacentral:RNase_P_RNA from 1 species
CCAGUGGGCCGGGAGGCCGCGAGCCGCAGCCCGGAUGGCCGGGCCGGCUCGAGGAAAGUCCGGACUCCAUAGGGCAGGGUGCCGGGUAACGCCCGGCGGGGGCGACCCCAGGGAAAGUGCCACAGAAACAUACCGCCGGCCACGGUCGCUCGAGCAAGGGCGGAGCGAGCCGGCAAGGGUGAAAUGGUGAGGUAAGAGCUCACCGGCGGCCAGGUGACUGGCCGGCCGGGUAAACCCCACCCGGAGCAAGACCGAGUAGGAGGGGCCAGGAGGUGGCCCGCCUCGAUGCCCCUCGGGUUGGUCGCUGGAGACGGGCGGUAACGCUCGUCCUAGAGGGAUGGCCUCCCUCGACAGAAUCCGGCUUACAGGUCCACUGGCUAU